rnacentral:rRNA from 1 species
UACGAAGGGGGCAAGCGUUGUUCGGAAUUACUGGGCGUAAAGGGCGCGCAGGCGGCCUGCCAAGUCAGAUGUGAAAGCCCCGGGCUCAACCUGGGAAUAGCAUUUGGGACUGGUGGGCUAGAGAUCGGGAGAGGAGAGUGGAAUUCCCAGUGUAGCGGUGAAAUGCGUAGAGAUUGGAAAGAACACCGAUGGCGAAGGCACUUUACUGGGCUAUUACUAACACUCAGAGACGAAAGCUAGGGUAGCAAAUGGG